UAAGGAAUAUUGGUCAAUGGAGGCAACUCUGAACCAGCCAUGCCGCGUGAAGGAUGAAGGUCCUCUGGAUUGUAAACUUCUUUUAUAGGGGACGAAACCCAGGUAGUCUUACCUGGUUGACGGUACCCUAGGAAUAAGCACCGGCUAACUCCGUGCCAGCAGCCGCGGUAAUACGGAGGGUGCAAGCGUUAUCCGGAUUCACUGGGUUUAAAGGGUGCGUAGGAGGGCAGGUAAGUCAGUGGUGAAAUCCUGGGGCUUAACCCCAGAACUGCCAUUGAUACUAUCUGUCUUGAAUACAGUGGAGGUGAGCGGAAUAUGUCAUGUAGCGGUGAAAUGCUUAGAUAUGACAUAGAACACCAAUUGCGAAGGCAGCUCGCUACACUACUAUUGACUCUGAGGCACGAAAGCGUGGGGAUCAAACAGGAUUAGAUACCCUGGUAGUCCACGCCCUAAACGAUGGAUACUCGACAUACGCGAUACACUGUGUGUGUCUGAGC
rnacentral:rRNA from 1 species